UUUUUUUUUUUUUUAAAAAGAGUCCCUAUCAACUACAUACCCAGUCCUGUGCUAGGAUUCUACAGGGAAGAGAGGAAAUGAAUUUACAAACACCAGUACUCUAAUGACCAAGAAAAAUUUACUUCUGAGCUCACAAAUCAAUAAAAAUUUUUUAUCAUUAUGACCAGAAGUACAUAUAUGGUUCCAAAUCAGAGACUCAGAUUUCGAAAAGGUCUGUACCUACAGAAGUAUCAUCAACUUAAAAAACAGGCUUUAGGAAAUUUAUUCCACCAUUCAAUGAUUUUAGAUCCUUUUACACACAUUUAUGAAAUGCAUUUUUUUUUUUUUUUUUGGUCUUUUAGCCAUUUCUUGGGCCGCUCCUGCAGCACAUGGAGGCUGUGAUCAAAAGUAACAGUGUAUGAUUUAAAAAAAAAAAAAAAAAGUAAUCCAGAAGAGGCUAUCUUGGCAUUCAAUAGGCACCCAAACAUCUAAUUGUAUGACUAUUCAAUGUGUCAGCAUUCUCCUCAGAAAAAGAUUCAGCCCUGCUAAGGAUAAUAAAAUUCUCAAGUCCAAAUGAAUGAGAAGACAAAAUACAGUAAAACUGAAACAUUAGUAGAAAUGACUACAAAGAAAGGUAACAGAAUAAGAAGGUAUAUAUGCUUCUUAAUCCUUACUAGGAUACUUAUGAAGAAGUAUCUUAGUUUUUUCAGCUGUAGAUAGAGGUGGAUGCUUGACAAAAGGUUUUGGAAAAGGGAUAAAAUAAAAGCUUUUAAAAUCCAAAAAUCAAAUGACCUAGGAUGUAUUUUAACCUGGUCAGUAAUGUCAGAAACAUAAGCGUUUAAGAGUUCCCACUGAGGUGCAAUAGCAUCAACAGCAUCUCUGCUGCACCAGAACGCAGGUUCAAUCCCCGGCCUAGCACGGUGGGUUAAAGGAACUGGCAUGGCCACAGCUGCAGGGUAGGUCACUGUGGCUAGGCUGAUCCCUGGCCUAGCAAUUUCAUAUGCUGAGGUGCGGCAAAAAAAAAAAAAAAAAAAAAAAAAGCAUUUAAAAACUCAACAGAUAAAGAAGACCAUUUUUUUAUAUUACAAUUUUAUUUUCUAUUCAAAGAAAUUAACUUAAAAAAACUGAACAGAACCAAGUAUGGGGGAAUAUGGGAAAUACGGAGAACUUACCAAAGCAAACGAAUGACUAUUAAAUUGAAAAUUCAGUAUCACUAAAAAAUGUUAAACAACAGAUUAUAAUUUUCCAAUAGUAACAUUAAAACCAUUGACACUUUGAGAUGUUAACGAAGCCAAGAAAUAAAUUCACUCUAAAGCUGAACAUCUGGCAAAUAUUCUCAAGAGGGGCACUAUUUUCUACUUCAAACUGAGAGGCUAACAGAAGAAAGUAAGGAACUCAGAGGUUUUCCAUUAAAAACUCCCAGGCUCUACAUCCUCAGGGCUGACAUCUAGUACAGGAAAAAGCUUCUGUGUAGGAAGUGUACUUGCCCUGCAUUACUGGGCUGUAAGUUUGUGUUGCUAUGGGCACCAGCACAAUAGAGCCAAUAUAAGGGCAAAGAAGCAAAAAGCUGACCGGAUAAGAGAAUUUGGUACAAGUGAUCAGUGUACUAAUGAGACCACAACUAUGUAAAAGUUCCCAGCAAGGAAGAUGGGAUUAAGACGGCAGAGUAGAAGGACUAGAGCUCACCUUCUCUCAUAAAAGCAGCAAAAUUACAACCAACUGCUGAACAACCUUCAACAAGACAGACUGCAAGCUAUUAAAAAGAUAUCCUACCCCAGAAGACAAAGAGGCGGCCACAUCAAGAUAGUAGGAGGAGCAAUUACACAAUAUAAGCAACCCUAUACAUGCCAGGUUGUCAGCCCACAGACUGGAAAGAAACUAUCACAGAGACUCACCUACAGGAGUCAGAGUUCUGAGCCUCACGUCAGGUCCCCAUGCCUGGGGAUCUGGCAUGGGGUGAAGGAGCCCCCUGAGCAUUUGGCAUUAAAGGCCAGAGGGGCUUGUGUGCAAGAGCUCCACAGGACUGGGGGAAAUGGGGACCCCAUUCCUGAAAGGUGCACACAGGCUUUCAUGUGCCCUGAGUCCCAGGGCAAAGCAGUGACACCAUAGGAAUCUGGGUCAGACCAGACUGCAGUUCUUGGAGGAUCUCCUGGGAAAACAGUGACUGUGGCUCACUGUGGGGGAACAACACUGGAGGGAGGCAAAGGUCUCUGGAAUAACCAUCAGCAUGUGCUCCUCUGGAAAAAACUGACCCCCCCAAUCAGGGCUGAGAAGCUCCAAGCCAAACAAUAACCUGGGCAUCAUCACAGCCCCACCCAUCAACAAACUGGCUGCCUAAAGAUAAACCUCCCCCAGGGCACAGAGGCAUCUCUAUUCUCACCCAGAGACAAUGCCCCACCCACCAGAGGGAAAAGAAUCAGCUCCACUUAACAGUGGUCCGGCACCAGUCCUUCCCAUCAGGAAGCCUAUGGCAAGCCGCCCAACCAACACCAGCCACGAGGAGGGCAGACAUCAGAAGUAAGAGAGGCUACAACUCUACUGUCAGCAAAAAGGAGACCACACCAAAAAUCUAUACAAAAUGAAAAAGCAAAGAAUUAUGACUUAGAUAAGGGAGCAAGGAAAAAACUCUUGCACACAGGCCCCUCUGGCCUUUAAUGCUAGAAAAACCGCUAAGUGAUCUUGAGAUUAUCAACCUCCAUGAAAGAGACUUUAUACUGAUGAUAGUGAAGAUGAUUCAAGAUCUUGGAAAUAAACUGGAGGCAAAGAUUGAUAAUUUACAACAAACACUGAGCAAAGAAAUACAAGAUUUAAGGAUUAAGCAAAAAUCUGACUAGCAUCCAUGAAGAUGCAGGUUCAAUCCCUGGCCUGGCUCAGUGGGUCAAGAAUCCGGCACUGCCAUGAGCUGUGGUGUAGGCCAGUGGCUACAGCUCUGAUUAGACCCCUAGCCUGGGAACCUCCAUAUGGCAUGGGUGCAGGCCUAAAAAGACAAAAAAAAUUCAUUAGGAACAACCAAGAGAAGAAUACAGGCGAGAGGAGAAUGAGUAAGUGAGGUGGAAGACAGACUAGUGGAUAUCACUUGAUGUGCAAAAGAAAAGAGAAAAAAAGACUAAAAAGAAAUGAAGACAAUCUAAGAGAACUCUGGGACAACAUGAGGGCCUGAAGAAAAAGAGAAAGGGCCAGAAAAAACAUUUUAAGGGACAAUAGCUGAAAACUUCCCUAACAUGGAAAAGGAAUCACAAACUCAUAUGCAGGAAGCACAAGAACACCAUAUAAAAUAAACCCAUGGAGGAAUACUCCAAGACACCUAUUAAUCAAACUGACCAAAACUGAAGUCAAAGAGAAAAUAUUGAAAGCAGCUACAGGAAAGAAACAAAAAACAUUAACUAGGGAACUCCAAUAAGGUUAUCAGCAGAUUUUUCAGCAGAAACUCUGCACAACGGAAGGGAAUGGCACAAUAUACUGAAUGUGAUGAAAGGAAUAAACCUCCAACCAAGAUUACUCUACCCAGCAAGGCUCUCAUUCAGAUUUGAAAGAGAAAUCAAAAGCUUUACAGAUAAGCAAAAGCUAAGAAAAUUCGGCAACACUAAAACAGCUUUACAACAAAUACUAAAGGAACUUCUCUAGGCAGAGAAGAAAAGGUCACAACUAGAAACAAAAAUACCACCAAUGACAACGCUCACCAGUAAAGGCAUAUUUACAAUAAAGGUAGGAAAUCAUCCACACACAAAUAUGCUACCAAAAUCAGAAAUUGUGAGAAGAGGAGGGUACAAAUGCAGGACACUGGAGAUGCACUUACAAUUAAGAGACCAACAACUUAAAACAAUCUUGUAUCUAUACACAGACUCCUAUAUCAAAACAUCAGGGAUGGAGUUCCCGUCGUGGUGCAGUGGUUAACAAAUCCAACUAGGAACCAUGAGCUUUCGGAUUCGGUCCCUG
ensembl:lncRNA